rnacentral:rRNA from 1 species
CGCAAUAAUGCUGGCACGCGACAGGGAACAUCGAGUGCCAGCUUACUAAUGCUGGCUGUCCUGAUGUGUAAAAUACAUUUGUAGCAGGGCCGGGCAAGACCGGUGCCAGCCGCCGCGGUAAA